rnacentral:rRNA from 1 species
GCCUGAUGCAGCCAUGCCGCGUGAGUGAUGAAGGCCUUCGGGUUGUAAACCUCUUUUAAUGUGGAGAAGAAGACGGUGACCUCAGAAAAAGCACCCGCAACUUUCCUGCCCACGACCCCCGCCGUA